AGACAUGCGUAGUGCUCCCCUUGGUCCAGCGCGGGAAGCUCCCUCGUGAGUGUCCGAAACUAUUAGCUCACUCACUGCCUCAUGUGAAGAUUAACUCUUAAGUACUCCACAACUACACGCUUUUGAAACUGGCGUUGGCAUAGCGUUAGUUCUGUGCAGGGCGGACGCAGCAGGACAGAAUCUCCCUGGGCAUCUUUUCGGAGCAUCAAUUUUACUGCAAAAUUUUGAAAAAACAAAUUUAAUUGAUUUCCAAGGUUUGUCAAGGAGGACAGAAACUCAGAGCACCCUGCACUUGGGGAUCGGCACUAGGAGCUGCUCUCUGGAUGGGGAGAUGGGAGCUAGCAGCUCACAAUGGGGUCACAAGAUGCAUGGUGAAUAUUUGAUGUUUUAGAACAAAAAUGUAUUUACAAAUCUCAUUUGAUGCAGACAUCUGAAAAUACUCAGAAGUUACAAGAAUUCAUAAAAUACCCACCAAAGCUAAUAGAAAACAUGGAACCUUCCAGGACAAGAAGUAAAUUAAAAGAACAACCCAGAGGAGUAAUCAAAGUGAGAAGCCAGUGCCGCCUCCAGGUACUGGAUGAUCACAGGGACCUCAGGCUUUGGGGAUUAUUCAACUACCUUCUUGGAAUAAACAACAAAAAAAGUAC
rnacentral:lncRNA from 1 species